ACCUUUUUCGAUACCAUCCGAUCACCAUUGUGUGCUGCCACCACUUGUAGCCUGCAGUAGUUAUUACCGCUUCUACUGGGAACUUGCGCCAUCCGCUGCACCCUCAUGCCUUUGUGCAGCAGAGACCUUUUCGGUGUGUUGCGCGGUCGCUGCAACGAGCCGGGUUGUGAGUGCAAGCGAUACACCAUUCUGCGCCUGUCGGAAAGUGACAACCUGGUGAGGUGUGACUAUUGUGACCACGUCCCAAAUGCACACGGAAAAAUAUGUGAUCUCGAAACGAAAAAUGCAGCCGAGGCAAAGGUGCAAUGCAAUGUGCCAGGCACCGUUGUUCGAGGCCUCAGUGUCACAUGAAACUGUGGAAGCUUGCACAUCUAGUCUCCUCAGUGCAAUAUGAGAGGACUGUCCCAGUUGGUGCCUCCAUAGAAAAUGAAUCGGCCUGAAUGCCUGUGCAAGAAUCACAACCUGGCUGCUCUAAAGACUCCGCACCGUAGUCCCAUGUGCAAGAGCCCCCACUUGACAGCCCAGUGGUUG